rnacentral:rRNA from 1 species
CCCUUAGAUGUUCUGGGCCGCACGCGCGCUACACUGACGAAUGCAACGAGCUUAUAACCUUGGCCGAAAGGUCUGGGUAAUCUCCAAAUUUCGUCGUGAUGGGGAUAGAUUAUUGCAAUUAUUAAUCUUCAACGAGGAAUGCCUAGUAAGCGCAAGUCAUCAGCUUGCGUUGAUUACGUCCCCGCCCUUUGUACACACCGCCCGUCGCUCCUACCGAUUGAAUGGUCCGGUGAAGCGCUCGGACCGCGGCCUCUUGACGGUUCGCUGUCGAUUGGCUGUGGGAAGUUCGUUAAACCUUAUCAUUUAGAGGAAGGAGAAGUCGUAACA